rnacentral:lncRNA from 1 species
GCCGCCUAAUCUUCUCAUUAGCAUUAACUAGUUAUUGCCCAGCUUUGGAGAGCCUUCUUUUGGCUUAUCAUUUAUUAUAAGCCCAGAAAUAGGUGACUAAUCAGAGAUAAAUGUAUGGGUUGUCUGUAUCUAGUUUUAUGCCUUUUUUUUGCCUAAGACGUAGUCAAAUUAAUAUUUUAACUAAUACAUCUUAGCAGAGUUUAGUUAAGCACAAAGUUAACAGUGGGUAGGAUUGAAUCUUGAAAGUAAUCAUGUCUGUAAUGUUUUUCAUGCAUGCAAAAAGCACAGACAAAACCACUCAUGCCCUAUUAAUAAACAAAAUACAGAUCAAAGUUUUCAAAAGUAAUCACUCUAUUUAUUCUAAAUGUCUGUGGCUUUAGGAAAAUACCACCAGCUAGUACUUACCUAUUUAAAGAUGUAGAAUUUAUUAUCCUCUAAUAUUCUUAUCAGUUGUUUCCACAACUUUAGUUUACUAUUGGACUUUCAAAAAUUUAAAGAAUUACAAGUAAAAUUCAUUAAACACUUGUGUGUGAAUAGUAAUACACAGUAAUUAGUACAGCAUGUUGCUUCUUCAACAAAUUGAGUUUUCAGGGAAAUCAGCAAGUAAAUGAAAUAUAAAUUUUUGGUAAAAGUAUCAAACAUUCAUCUUGCCCAUUUUUCCUCUUAAACUUUAUUAUCUAAUCAAACAUAGUUUUCCAUAAGAUGUAAUAAAAUAUAGAUAAGGUUGGAAUAUUUGAGGAUCCAUUUGUGGAACUGAAUUUAAUGAGACUUCAUUGGUGAUACACUCAAUUUUUACUGGGUAAUUAGCUAAUAAUGUUGGUCACUGUCUCACAGUUCAAGUAGCUUUAAGAUGAUGUGGCAAGGAAAACACAAAGCUUUUGGGUAACCAGCGUUCUUAAAUGUAUGGUUUUUGACCAGGUGAACCCUUUAGAAGUGAUUUCUGUUUUAAAAGUAUGUACUUAAAAUACCUUUGGCUGUGAUGAAUGUAGAUCCCAGCAGAAUACCAAAAUCCUAUUUUUUUUGACUGAGUAUUUGUAGAUGCUUAAUGACUGAAAUGAAUUUGGAGGCACUGAUGAAAGUGAUUUUUUUAAAGUUCUCAGGUACUGUUCAAUUAUUUAAUGUUAAGUUUAGUAUCAAGAUACAGUUGUUUUUAAAAUGCCAAAAUGCUGUUUAUUAUACAGAAUAUUUUAUUACAUUUGCAAUAUCUUUGUAUAUAGUGAUUUUUUUUUUUUUUGAGACUGAGUCUCGCUCUCUCACCAGGCUGGAGUGCAGUGGCGCGAUCUCUGCUCACUGCAACCUCUGUCUUCUGGGUUCAAGUGAUUCUCUUGCCUCAGCCUCCCAAGUAGCUGGGACUACAGGCACGUGCCACAAUGCCCAGCUAAUUUUUGUAUUUUUAGUAGAGACGGGGUUUCAACAUGUUGGACAGGAUGGUUUUGAUCUCUUGACCUCGUGAUCUGCCUGCCUCGGCCUCCCAAUGUGCUGGGAUUACUGAUGUGAUCUCCUUUUUUUUUCAAGGCUUAACAUGUAAUUUAACAAGUUGAUGCUGCAUUGCUGCUCCAUUUCUCAGAAAAACUUCAAAUUUAAAGUAUCAGCAACAAAUCAAACAUAGUACAUCAAUUAAAUAUGCACAGCAUAACUACUAUCUAAGAUAGGCAAGGCUAAGAGCUACUCUCAGACCUUCAGCAUACAGCAACUCUGUUUCCAAGAUUGUACUAGGCCUAUCAAGAAAAGUUGUGAACAGCAACAUCAUAGACACAAAACGUGCUGCUUCUCCAUCUCAAUGAGUACCCUCUAGUGCAUGGCAUACUUAUAUUCAAAAGCCAUGCUGUGCACACUGGGGUGGCUGUUCUCACUCCUUGUGAAAUUGCUGGUUCUUUACAACCAGCUUCUCUGGAAGUCCUUCUUUGUCACCUAAUUAGCCUAUGGGCUACACAGUUUUUUCCUUUUUGUUAAUUUAUUUAAACUCUCUUUCUGUGAAAUUGCCUUCCCAUAUUUCUCACAGUUUCCUCAUUUCCUCCUCAGUGAUGUCAGAAGGAACACUGCCCACAAAGAAAUAUUUGGCCUCGUUUGGUGAAGGGCUUCUUUCCUGGGCUGCAGUGUGGAGCCUGAGGAGAAUGUCUGAGGGCAGCAGGGAGGGGACUGUGAAUUGAGGCAGCAAUAGAUUGGUUAUUUUUGAGGUUAUUUUUUCUUUCUUUUGUGUGUGUGUGUGUGUGUGUGUGUGUGCCAAAGAUUUACUUGUUCAUUUCUUGCAUUUGAAGUACUCUUCAAUGACAUCCUUGGCCUGAGACUCCUUGCCAUAGUUCGUAACUACUAUACAACUUCAACCAACCACUUUACACGGUUUCCCCUCUCUGUCAGUUUUACAGAGGCCUACCGAUUCCCCUAGUUUCUGGUCAUCAACCUUAAUUAGGUUGAUUUGGUGUUCAGCACAAAGGGCCUCCACCAACUUGACAUACAUAGGCUCAUCACAGUUGGAUGCAAGCACACACAGCACACAAAGAUGGGCUUGGCACUUGUCUGAGGCUUUGGCAGCUUUGCAAAUUUCAUAUGCUAGGCCAUCAUGGAUGAGGGCGGUCUUCAGCACCUCCUGUAAAACAGUAUUAAUGUCCAUUACACCUCCAGCAGCACUGCCUUCCUCGGCCAUGGCAGUGGGUUACGAGUGAAGCCGGAUCUUGAAUGCACCCGAGACUCCGCCUCUAUACAAUUCAGUGGCAGCAGGGAAAGAGCGUAAGUUUGGAAUUAUUUCAAAAUUUAAAAAUUCAAAAUAGAAUCAUAAAAGUAAUAUUUUUCAUAAU